CGCGUAGGCGGUCAUGCAAGUCAGGUGUGAAAUCCCCAGGCUUAACCUGGGAACUGCGCUUGAAACUGCAUAGCUUGAGGCCGGGAGAGGAAAGUGGAAUUCCUGGUGUAGCGGUGAAAUGCGUAGAUAUCAGGAGGAACACCGGUGGCGAAGGCGGCUUUCUGGACCGGUUCUGACGCUGAAGCGCGAAAGCGUGGGGAACAAACG
rnacentral:rRNA from 1 species